UACGGAGGGUGCGAGCGUUGUCCGGAAUCAUUGGGCGUAAAGGGCGCGUAGGUGGCCCGGUCAGUCUUUGGUGAAAGCGCGGGGCUCAACCCUGCGUCGGCCAGGGAUACUGCCGCGGCUCGAGCACUGUAGAGGCAGGCGGAAUUCCGGGUGUAGCGGUGAAAUGCGUAGAUAUCGGGAGGAACACCAGUGGCGAAGGCGACUACCUGGCCUGUUUCUUGACGCUGAGGCGCGAAAGCUAGGGGAGCAAACGGG
rnacentral:rRNA from 1 species